rnacentral:rRNA from 1 species
UACGUAGGGGGCAAGCGUUGUCCGGAAUUAUUGGGCGUAAAGCGCGCGCAGGCGGCUGUUUAAGUCUGGUGUUUAAGCCCGGGGCUCAACCCCGGUUCGCACCGGAAACUGGAUGGCUUGAGUGCAGGAGAGGGAAGUGGAAUUCCACGUGUAGCGGUGAAAUGCGUAGAGAUGUGGAGGAACACCAGUGGCGAAGGCGGCUUUCUGGUCUGUAACUGACGCUGAGGCGCGAAAGCGUGGGGAGCAAACAGG